rnacentral:rRNA from 2 species
UUUAUGGAGAGUUUGAUCCUGGCUCAGGAUGAACGCUGGCGGCGUGCCUAAUACAUGCAAGUCGAGCGAACAGACGAGGAGCUUGCU